rnacentral:pre_miRNA from 13 species
AACAAACCCAUAAUUGGGCACAUUUGAUUCUUUAUAUGUUUGUCGGCCAAACAUAUAAAGAAUCAAAUGUGCCCAAUUAUGGGUUUG